CCAGGCCGGCUGCAUAAUUGUGCUCAUUAAAAGUUGCAGGCUGGCUAAUUAGCAGGCUAGCUGGUGUGCUACAUAGGCCGCAAGGAUGCUGUGACACUAUCAACACUCCUGGCGCGCGCACCACCCGUCACAUGUGCAGGACACACGCACGCGCACAAUCCGUCCCCCCCGCUCCGGACCACUGCGGUACGACUGCGGGUUGGCGCAGGCCGGGGUGGCGACGUCUGCGGGCGCAGCAACGCUGACUCCCGCACUCAAAAGGAGAACCCGGGGGUCUGACAGAAACCCCUCGAGAUGUCCGUCUUACCUUCAGCUUGGUGUGUGCCAAGGCUGGCUCGCUCCCGGGGAUACCGGACCACGCUCAGGACGGAGGUUUUGUCGCCAGGAGGAGCGCGGCGCUGAACGAUAGAAUCCCCGGACCACGCAGACUCAGGACCGGCAAGUCGGUACCGCCGCGGUACUGACGAGGCCGUCUUGGCGCCGGGAGGUGCUGCUGGUGCUGAGGAGGAAGAUGAUGAUGAUGAUGUUACCACCUGACACAUCCCCCCUCCCUCCUCUUGCUCCUCCUUUCUGUGAAGAUGCGGGAAAUAUCAGCAUCAGUGAGAGGUUUCAUAAUUUUGAUGCCUUCAGUGACAAUCUACAAGCUGCCGUCGACUCCCCUGAGACACUAAGCGUCAAGACACCCGUGGAGACACCCUUCCGACUUUCA